UACGGGGGGGGCAAGCGUUGUUCGGAAUUACUGGGCGUAAAGGGCUCGUAGGCGGCCAACUAAGUCGGACGUGAAAUCCCCAGGCUCAACCUGGGAACUGCGUCCGAUACUGGAUGGCUUGAAUCCGGGAGAGGUGAGUGGAAUUCCUAGUGUAGAGGUGAAAUUCGUAGAUAUUAGGAAGAACACCAGUGGCGAAGGCGGCUCACUGGCCCGGUACUGACGCUGAGGCGCGAAAGCGUGGGGAGCAAACAGG
rnacentral:rRNA from 1 species